GGUGCGAGCGUUAAUCGGAUUUACUGGGCGUAAAGCGUGCGUAGGCGGCUUUUUAAGUCGGAUGUGAAAUCCCCGAGCUUAACUUGGGAAUUGCAUUCGAUACUGGGAAGCUAGAGUAUGGGAGAGGAUGGUAGAAUUCCAGGUGUAGCGGUGAAAUGCGUAGAGAUCUGGAGGAAUACCGAUGGCGAAGGCAGCCAUCUGGCCUAAUACUGACGCUGAGGUACGAAAGCAUGGGGAGCAAACAGGAUUAGAUACCCUGGUAGUCCAUGCCGUAAACGAUGUCUACUAGCCGUUGGGGUCUUUGAGACUUUAGUGGCGCCACUAACGCGAUAAGUAGACCGCCUGGGGAGUACGGUCGCAAGACUAAAACUCAAAUGAAUUGACGGGGGCCCGCACAAGCGGUGGAGCAUGUGGUUUAAUUCGAUGCACGCAAGAACCUUACCUGGUCUUGACAUAGUAAGAACUUCCAGAGAUGAUUGGUCGGACUUCUCGGGAACUUACAUUACAGGUGCUGCAUGGCUGUCGUCAGCUCGUGUCGUUGAGAUGWUGGGCUUAAGUCCCGCAACGAGCGCAACCCUUUUCCUUACUUGCCAGCAUUUCGGAUGGGAACUUUAAGGAUACUGCCAGUGACAAACUGGAGGAAGGCGGGGACGACGUCAAGUCAUCAUGGCCCUUACGACCAGGGCUACACACGUGCUACAAUGGUCGGUACAAAGGGUUGCUACCUAGCGAUAGGAUGCUAAUCUCAAAAAGCCGAUCGUAGUCCGGAUUGGAGUCUGCAACUCGACUCCAUGAAGUCGGAAUCGCUAGUAAUCGCGGAUCGGAAUGCCGCGGUGAAUACGUUCCCGGGCCU
rnacentral:rRNA from 1 species